GACGAACCGUGCGAACGUUGUUCGGAUUCACUGGGCUUAAAGGGCGCGUAGGCGGGCGGGCAAGUCCGGGGUGAAAGCGUACGGCUCAACCGUACCAGGGCCUUGGAUACUGCCGGUCUCGAGGGAGGUAGGGGCGUGCGGAACUUCCGGUGGAGCGGUGAAAGUGACGCAGAUAUCAGGAGGAACACCGGUGGCGAAGGCGGGUCUCUGGGCAACAACUGACGCUGAGGAGCGAAAGCGUGGGGAGCGAACAGG
rnacentral:rRNA from 1 species